AUGUUUUUGAUAAACAGGCGAAUAUAAAUAUUUUGCUUAAUUCCUUAAUAAUAUAUAUAUAUAUAUAUAUAUAUAUAUACUUUUAAUAUUACUAAUUUAAUCAUUUUAAUAUAAUUAAUUUAUUUAAAUUAUUUUUUUUUUAAUAAAUAUAUAUAUAUAUAUAAUAUACAAAUUAUAAUAAGAUUAUUUAAAUAAAUUAUUAUAUAUUUAUUAAAUUAUUUAAAUUUUAAAAUUAAUUUUUUUAUUUAUAUUAUUUAUAAAUAUUAUAUAUAAAUUUAUAGUUUAACCCAUAAAUUAUUUAUAUUUUAAAAAAAAAUAAUUUUUUUAAAAAAUAAAAUUAUUUUUAAAAAUAUUUAAAUUAAAUUUAAUUCAAAAAAAACUAGAUAUAAUUAAAAUCGUAUAACAUUUAAUCUCUAAUUAUAUAUUUAUAAUUUUAAUUUUACAAAAAAAAAAUUUUAUAUAAUUCACUCUUUUAAUUUCGAGAAAUUUAUUUUAAUUAAUUUUUUUUUAAUUAACCCUGAUACAAAAGGUACAAAAAUUUACUUUAUUUUUAAAAAUUUUAUAAAUUUCAUUUACAUUACUAUAUAUUUAUAAAUAAAUUUAUUAUUUUAAAAUUUUACUUUAACUUAGAAAUAUAUUUAAAUAAUUUUUUUUAAAUAAUUUUUUUUUACUUUAAAAUUUUUUUAUUAUAUAA
rnacentral:rRNA from 1 species